rnacentral:rRNA from 1 species
GCAUAUCAAUAAGCGGAGGAAAAGAAACCAACAGGGAUUGCCUCAGUAACGGCGAGUGAAGCGGCAAAAGCUCAAAUUUGAAACCCUCGGGAUUGUAAUUUGAAGAUUUGGCAUUGGAGAAAGCUAACCCAAGUUGCUUGGAAUAGUACGUCAUAUAGGGUGACAACCCCGUCUGGCUAACCGUUCUCCAUGUAUUGCCUUAUCAAAGAGUCGAGUUGUUUGGGAAUGCAGCUCAAAGUGGGUGGUAAACUCCAUCUAAAGCUAAAUACUGGUGAGAGACCGAUAGCGAACAAGUACUGUGAAGGAAAGGUGAAAAGAACUUUGAAAAGAGAGUGAAAUAGUAUGUGAAAUUGUUGAUAGGGAAGGAAAUGAGUGGAGAGUGGCCGAGGUUUCAGCCGCCCCUCGUGGGCGGUGUACUGCCGACGCCGAGUCAUCGAUAGCGAGACGAGGGUUACAAAUGGGAGCGCCUUCGGGCGUUCUCCCCUAACCCUCCACACUGCCACCGACGACAUAAUCCACCCAUUUCACCCGUCUUGAAACACGGACC